rnacentral:rRNA from 1 species
GACGAACGCUGGCGGCGUGCUUAACACAUGCAAGUCGAACGGAAAGGCCCUGCUUUUGUGGGGUGCUCGAGUGGCGAACGGGUGAGUAACACGUGAGUAACCUGCCCUUGACUUUGGGAUAACUUCAGGAAACUGGGGCUAAUACCGGAUAGGAGCUCCUGCUGCAUGGUGGGGGUUGGAAAGUUUCGGCGGUUGGGGAUGGACUCGCGGCUUAUCAGCUUGUUGGUGGGGUAGUGGCUUACCAAGGCUUUGACGGGUAGCCGGCCUGGGAGGGUGACCGGCCACCUUGGGACUGAGAUACGGCCCAGACUCCUACGGGAGGCAGCAGUGGGGAAUAUUGCACAAUGGGCGGAAGCCUGAUGCAGCAACGCCGCGUGCGGGAUGACGGCCUUCUGGUUGUAAACCGCUUUCGCCUGUGACGAAGCGUGAGUGACGGUAAUGGGUAAAGAAGCACCGGCUAACUACGUG